CCUACGGGCGACAGCAGUGAGGAAUAUUGGUCAAUGGACGAGAGUCUGAACCAGCCAAGUAGCGUGAAGGAUGACUGCCCUAUGGGUUGUAAACUUCUUUUAUACAGGAAUAAAACGAGGCACGUGUGCCUUUUUGCAUGUACUUUAUGAAUAAGGAUCGGCUAACUCCGUGCCAGCAGCCGCGGUAAUACGGAGGAUCCGAGCGUUAUCCGGAUUUAUUGGGUUUAAAGGGAGCGUAGAUGGGUUGUUAAGUCAGUUGUGAAAGUUUGCGGCUCAACCGUAAAAUUGCAAUUGUUACUGGCAGGCUUGAGUACAGGUGAGGUAGGCGGAAUUCGUGGUGGAGCGGUGAAAUGCUUAGAGAUCACGAAGAACCCCGAUUGCGAAGGCAGCUUACGAAAGUGUGACUGACAUUGAUGCUCGAAAGUGUGGGUAUCAAACAGGAUUAGAUACCCUAGUAGUC
rnacentral:rRNA from 1 species